rnacentral:rRNA from 1 species
GACGAACGCUGGCGGCGUGCUUAACACAUGCAAGUCGAACGAAGAGCGAUGGAAGCUUGCUUCUAUCAAUCUUAGUGGCGAACGGGUGAGUAACGCGUAAUCAACCUGCCCUUCAGAGGGGGACAACAGUUGGAAACGACUGCUAAUACCGCAUACGAUCUAAUCUCGGCAUCGAGGAUAGAUGAAAGGUGGCCUCUACAUGUAAGCUAUCACUGAAGGAGGGGAUUGCGUCUGAUUAGCUAGUUGGAGGGGUAACGGCCCACCAAGGCGAUGAUCAGUAGCCGGUCGGAGAGGAUGAACGGCCACAUUGGGACUGAGACACGGCCCAGACUCCUACGGGAGGCAGCAGUGGGGAAUCUUCCGCAAUGGACGAAAGGCUGACGGAGCAACGCCGCGUGAGUGAUGACGGCCUUCGGGUUGGAAAGCUCUGUUAAUCGGGACGAAAGGCCUUCUUGCGAAUAGUGAGAAGGAUUGACGGUACCGGAAUAGAAAGCCACGGCUAACUACGUG